GGGUUGUGAGGUUAAGCGACUAAGCGUACACGGUGGAUGCCCUGGCAGUCAGAGGCGAUGAAGGACGUGCUAAUCUGCGAUAAGCGUCGGUAAGGUGAUAUGAACCGUUAUAACCGGCGAUUUCCGAAUGGGGAAACCCAGUGUGUUUCGACACACUAUCAUUAACUGAAUCCAUAGGUUAAUGAGGCGAACCGGGGGAACUGAAACAUCUAAGUACCCCGAGGAAAAGAAAUCAACCGAGAUUCCCCCAGUAGCGGCGAGCGAACGGGGAGCAGCCCAGAGCCUGAAUCAGUGUGUGUGUUAGUGGAAGCGUCUGGAAAGGCGCGCGAUACAGGGUGACAGCCCCGUACACAAAAAUGCACAUGCUGUGAGCUCGAUGAGUAGGGCGGGACACGUGGUAUCCUGUCUGAAUAUGGGGGGACCAUCCUCCAAGGCUAAAUACUCCUGACUGACCGAUAGUGAACCAGUACCGUGAGGGAAAGGCGAAAAGAACCCCGGCGAGGGGAGUGAAAAAGAACCUGAAACCGUGUACGUACAAGCAGUGGGAGCACGCUUAGGCGUGUGACUGCGUACCUUUUGUAUAAUGGGUCAGCGACUUAUAUUCUGUAGCAAGGUUAACCGAAUAGGGGAGCCGAAGGGAAACCGAGUCUUAACUGGGCGUUAAGUUGCAGGGUAUAGACCCGAAACCCGGUGAUCUAGCCAUGGGCAGGUUGAAGGUUGGGUAACACUAACUGGAGGACCGAACCGACUAAUGUUGAAAAAUUAGCGGAUGACUUGUGGCUGGGGGUGAAAGGCCAAUCAAACCGGGAGAUAGCUGGUUCUCCCCGAAAGCUAUUUAGGUAGCGCCUCGUGAAUUCAUCUCCGGGGGUAGAGCACUGUUUCGGCAAGGGGGUCAUCCCGACUUACCAACCCGAUGCAAACUGCGAAUACCGGAGAAUGUUAUCACGGGAGACACACGGCGGGUGCUAACGUCCGUCGUGAAGAGGGAAACAACCCAGACCGCCAGCUAAGGUCCCAAAGUCAUGGUUAAGUGGGAAACGAUGUGGGAAGGCCCAGACAGCCAGGAUGUUGGCUUAGAAGCAGCCAUCAUUUAAAGAAAGCGUAAUAGCUCACUGGUCGAGUCGGCCUGCGCGGAAGAUGUAACGGGGCUAAACCAUGCACCGAAGCUGCGGCAGCGACACUAUGUGUUGUUGGGUAGGGGAGCGUUCUGUAAGCCUGUGAAGGUGUACUGUGAGGUAUGCUGGAGGUAUCAGAAGUGCGAAUGCUGACAUAAGUAACGAUAAAGCGGGUGAAAAGCCCGCUCGCCGGAAGACCAAGGGUUCCUGUCCAACGUUAAUCGGGGCAGGGUGAGUCGACCCCUAAGGCGAGGCCGAAAGGCGUAGUCGAUGGGAAACAGGUUAAUAUUCCUGUACUUGGUGUUACUGCGAAGGGGGGACGGAGAAGGCUAUGUUGGCCGGGCGACGGUUGUCCCGGUUUAAGCGUGUAGGCUGGUUUUCCAGGCAAAUCCGGAAAAUCAAGGCUGAGGCGUGAUGACGAGGCACUACGGUGCUGAAGCAACAAAUGCCCUGCUUCCAGGAAAAGCCUCUAAGCAUCAGGUAACAUCAAAUCGUACCCCAAACCGACACAGGUGGUCAGGUAGAGAAUACCAAGGCGCUUGAGAGAACUCGGGUGAAGGAACUAGGCAAAAUGGUGCCGUAACUUCGGGAGAAGGCACGCUGAUAUGUAGGUGAAGUCCCUCGCGGAUGGAGCUGAAAUCAGUCGAAGAUACCAGCUGGCUGCAACUGUUUAUUAAAAACACAGCACUGUGCAAACACGAAAGUGGACGUAUACGGUGUGACGCCUGCCCGGUGCCGGAAGGUUAAUUGAUGGGGUCAGCGCAAGCGAAGCUCUUGAUCGAAGCCCCGGUAAACGGCGGCCGUAACUAUAACGGUCCUAAGGUAGCGAAAUUCCUUGUCGGGUAAGUUCCGACCUGCACGAAUGGCGUAAUGAUGGCCAGGCUGUCUCCACCCGAGACUCAGUGAAAUUGAACUCGCUGUGAAGAUGCAGUGUACCCGCGGCAAGACGGAAAGACCCCGUGAACCUUUACUAUAGCUUGACACUGAACAUUGAGCCUUGAUGUGUAGGAUAGGUGGGAGGCUUUGAAGUGUGGACGCCAGUCUGCAUGGAGCCGACCUUGAAAUACCACCCUUUAAUGUUUGAUGUUCUAACGUGGACCCGUGAUCCGGGUUGCGGACAGUGUCUGGUGGGUAGUUUGACUGGGGCGGUCUCCUCCUAAAGAGUAACGGAGGAGCACGAAGGUUGGCUAAUCCUGGUCGGACAUCAGGAGGUUAGUGCAAUGGCAUAAGCCAGCUUGACUGCGAGCGUGACGGCGCGAGCAGGUGCGAAAGCAGGUCAUAGUGAUCCGGUGGUUCUGAAUGGAAGGGCCAUCGCUCAACGGAUAAAAGGUACUCCGGGGAUAACAGGCUGAUACCGCCCAAGAGUUCAUAUCGACGGCGGUGUUUGGCACCUCGAUGUCGGCUCAUCACAUCCUGGGGCUGAAGUAGGUCCCAAGGGUAUGGCUGUUCGCCAUUUAAAGUGGUACGCGAGCUGGGUUUAGAACGUCGUGAGACAGUUCGGUCCCUAUCUGCCGUGGGCGCUGGAGAACUGAGGGGGGCUGCUCCUAGUACGAGAGGACCGGAGUGGACGCAUCACUGGUGUUCGGGUUGUCAUGCCAAUGGCACUGCCCGGUAGCUAAAUGCGGAAGAGAUAAGUGCUGAAAGCAUCUAAGCACGAAACUUGCCCCGAGAUGAGUUCUCCCUGAC
rnacentral:rRNA from 1 species